rnacentral:rRNA from 1 species
UACGAAGGGGGCGAGCGUUGUUCGGAAUUACUGGGCGUAAAGGGCGCGUAGGCGGGAUGGCAAGUCGGUCGUGAAAUCCCUCGGCUCAACCGAGGAACGUCGAUCGAUACUGCUGUUCUUGAGGAUUGCAGAGGAGACUGGAAUUCCCGGUGUAGCGGUGAAAUGUGUAGAGAUCGGGAGGAACACCGAUGGCGAAGGCAGCCCCCUGGGUCAAGAUUGACGCUCAUGCACGAAAGCGUGGGGAGCAAACAGG